rnacentral:lncRNA from 1 species
AAUCAAGGCAAUUACAGGAAUGAAUUGGGAAGCUCAUUCCGCCACAGGGGAAACUGCUAUGACAAAUGCAGUUGUAACUGGCUAAGAAGCUGAAUGGGUAGAGUAGAUGGAUCCCUGUUCACAUGGAGCCUGUACCCCGAUGGAAAUGAAUGGACAUGGACAUCAUAUUGCCUUUCUGAGGUAAGAAAAUUGUGGGGAGAUGAAGGAAAAAUGAAAAUGAUAUCAUAAAUGAAGGUACUCAGGGAGUGGGGAUCAGAGAGUGGCCCCCUCAGGAAAGCUU